rnacentral:rRNA from 1 species
AAGCUUGCUUCUCUGAUGUUAGCGGCGGACGGGUGAGUAACACGUGGAUAACCUACCUAUAAGACUGGGAUAACUUCGGGAAACCGGAGCUAAUACCGGAUAAUAUUUUGAACCGCAUGGUUCAAAAGUGAAAGACGGUCUUGCUGUCACUUAUAGAUGGAUCCGCGCUGCAUUAGCUAGUUGGUAAGGUAACGGCUUACCAAGGCAACGAUGCAUAGCCGACCUGAGAGGGUGAUCGGCCACACUGGAACUGAGACACGGUCCAGACUCCUACGGGAGGCAGCAGUAGGGAAUCUUCCGCAAUGGGCGAAAGCCUGACGGAGCAACGCCGCGUGAGUGAUGAAGGUCUUCGGAUCGUAAAACUCUGUUAUUAGGGAAGAACAUAUGUGUAAGUAACUGUGCACAUCUUGACGGUACCUAAUCAGAAAGCCACGGCUAACUACGUGCCAGCAGCCGCGGUAAUACAUAGGUGGCAAGCGUUAUCCGGAAUUAUUGGGCGUAAAGCGCGCGUAGGCGGUUUUUUAAGUCUGAUGUGAAAGCCCACGGCUCAACCGUGGAGGGUCAUUGGAAACUGGAAAACUUGAGUGCAGAAGAGGAAAGUGGAAUUCCAUGUGUAGCGGUGAAAUGCGCAGAGAUAUGGAGGAACACCAGUGGCGAAGGCGACUUUCUGGUCUGUAACUGACGCUGAUGUGCGAAAGCGUGGGGAUCAAACAGGAUUAGAUACCCUGGUAGUCCACGCCGUAAACGAUGAGUGCUAAGUGUUAGGGGGUUUCCGCCCCUUAGUGCUGCAGCUAACGCAUUAAGCACUCCGCCUGGGGAGUACGACCGCAAGGUUGAAACUCAAAGGAAUUGACUGGGACCCGCACAAGCGGUGGAGCAUGUGGUUUAAUUCGAAGCAACGCGAAGAACCUUACCAAAUCUUGACAUCCUUUGACAACUCUAGAGAUAGAGCUUUCCCCUUCGGGGGACAAAGUGACAGGUGGUGCAUGGUUGUCGUCAGCUCGUGUCGUGAGAUGUUGGGUUAAGUCCCGCAACGAGCGCAACCCUUAAGCUUAGUUGCCAUCAUUAAGUUGGGCACUCUAAGUUGACUGCCGGUGACAAACCGGAGGAAGGUGGGGAUGACGUCAAAUCAUCAUGCCCCUUAUGAUUUGGGCUACACACGUGCUACAAUGGACAAUACAAAGGGCAGCGAAACCGCGAGGUCAAGCAAAUCCCAUAAAGUUGUUCUCAGUUCGGAUUGUAGUCUGCAACUCGACUACAUGAAGCCGGAAUCGCUAGUAAUACUAGAUCAGCAUGC